CUACGGGGCGCACCAGUGAGGAAUAUUGCACAAUGGGGGGAACCCUGAUGCAGCACCGCCGCGUGGAGGAUGACGCAUUUCGGUGUGUAAACUCCUUUUAUAUGUCAAGAAAAUGACGGUAGCAUAUGAAUAAGCACCGGCUAACUCCGUGCCAGCAGCCGCGGUAAUACGGAGGGUGCAAGCGUUACUCGGAAUCACUGGGCGUAAAGGACGCGUAGGCGGGUUGGAAAGUCAGGUGUGAAAUCCUACAGCUUAACUGUAGAACUGCACUUGAAACUUCUAAUCUAGAGGAUGGGAGGGGGAGAUGGAAUUAGUAGUGUAGGGGUAAAAUCCGUAGAUAUCACUAGGAAUACCUAAAGCGAAGGCGAUCGCCGGGAACAUUGCUGACGAUAAGGCGUGAAAGCGUGGGAAGAAAACAGGAUUAGAUACCCGAGUAGUC
rnacentral:rRNA from 1 species